AGUCAAUGAUCGAAAGAUUGAUCUAGUUACUUAGAAAGAUGAAAAUUAUGAUAAUUAUGUUCCAUUAAUUUUAAUGGAAAAUAACAUAAAGAAAUAUAAUAAUGAAGAAUAUAAAGUCUUGAUAUAUUAAAAUAAAGAAUAAUGAUGAUUUAAUAUAUUGAUGUCUUAACAAAAAUUAGUGCCAGCAGUUGCGGCUAAACUAAGGAGGCUAACGUUAAUCAUUAAAGGCUUAAAGGAUCCGUAGAAUGAUAUAUACAUAUAUAUAAUAGAGUUAAAUAAUAAGAAUAAUGAAUAAUUAUAAUGAGAGAUGAAAUGUUAUGAUAAUAAUUAGACAAACAACAUUGAAGAUUUUAUUCGUUAUAUUAACUGACAUUGAGGGAUGAAGGCAUGAGUAUCAAAACGGAUUAGAUACCCGAGUAGUUCAUGCAGUAAACUAUGAGUACUAAAUAUAUAAAUAUAAGUGAAAACUAAAGUACUCCGCCAGGUGAGUAUAUUCGCAAGAAUGAAAUCCAAGACAAUAGACGGUUACAGGUGUAGGCAGUGGAUUGUGUUAU
rnacentral:rRNA from 1 species